rnacentral:misc_RNA from 1 species
GAUGAAGAACGUAGUGAAAUGCGAUAAGUAAUGCGAAUUGCAGAAUUUCCGUGAGUCAUCGAAUCUUUGAACGCACAUUGCGCCCUCUGGUAUUCCGGAGGGCACACCUGUUCGAGCGUCAUUACACAAAUCAAGCCCUGCUUGGUAUUGGGUGAAGCCCUCUAGGGCUCGCCUUAAACUCCUCGGCGUCGCCGUCCGUCUUCGAGCGCAGCGAGAUAACUUUCCAGCGUUUUCGAGAUGGGCCACGUCCGCCGCAGAACAUACCUUUUUUUCUUAUCAAGGUUGACCUCGGAUCAGGUGGGGAUACCCGCUGAACUUAAGCAUAUCAAUAAGCGGAGGA